AUACAGAGGGCGCGAGCGUUAAUCGGAAUUACUGGGCGUAAAGCGCGCGUAGGCGGCUACUUAAGUCAGAUGUGAAAUCCCCGGGCUCAACCUGGGAACUGCAUCUGAUACUGGGUAGCUAGAGUUUAGGAGAGGGAAGUAGAAUUUCAGGUGUAGCUGUGAAAUGCAUAGAGAUCUGAAGGAAUACCAGUGGCGAAGGCGGCUUCCUGGCCUAAAACUGACGCUAAGGUGCGAAAGCGUGGGUAGCAAACGGGAUUAGAAACCCCAGUAGUCC
rnacentral:rRNA from 1 species